rnacentral:rRNA from 1 species
UACGAAGGGGGCCAGCGUUGUUCGGAAUUACUGGGCGUAAGGCGCACGUAGGCUGAUUGAUAAGUUAGGGGUGAAAUCCCGGGGCUCAACCUCGGAACUGCCUCUGAUACUGUUAGUCUCGAGUCCGAUAGAGGUGAGUGGAAUUCCUAGUGUAGAGGUGAAAUUCGUAGGUAUUAGGAAGAACACCAGUGGCGAAGGCGGCUCACUGGAUCGGUACUGACGCUGAGGUGCGAAAGCGUGGGGAGCAAACAGG